ACUCAAAUGAAUUGACGGGGGCCCGCACAAGCAGCGGAGCGUGUGGUUUAAUUCGAUGCUACGCGAAGAACCUUACCUGGGCUUGACAUGCAAGUGGUAGCGAGGGGAAACCUGAGCGACCCGCAAGGGAGCUUGCACCGGUGCUGCAUGGUUGUCGUCAGCUCGUGUCGUGAGAUGUUGGGUUAAGUCCCGCAACGAGCGCAACCCCUGGGGUCAGUUGCACGUACCUGGCCCGACUGCCGCCACAAAGCGGAGGAAGGUGGGGAUGACGUCAAAUCAGCAUGGCCUGUAUGUCCAGGGCGACACACACGCUACAAUGGUCGGUACAAUGCGUUGCCAGUCCGCGAGGACGCGCGAAUCGUCAAAGCCGAUCUCAGUUCGGAUUGGAGUCUGCAACUCGACUCCAUGAAGGCGGAGUUGCUAGUAACCGCGCGUCAGCCAUAGUGCGGUGAAUGCGUUCCCGGGCCUUGUACACACCGCCCGU
rnacentral:rRNA from 1 species